rnacentral:lncRNA from 1 species
AGACAGUGAACCGACGCUGACGGAAGUUAUCCGUUCGAAAACUGUCGGCAUACUCGGGAUGAUCAGGUACUGUCGGAACGUAAUCCUAUCACGGUCCGCUCUAUCGCAUUGCAAACGGCUUUUUCUGGUCACAGUCGUAUUGUAUUCUGUAAUUGUCGGGACUCUGACGUGGGUAUCAUUGACGAAUUUAGAAUUAAUAACGGGACUGUUUCGGAACGGUUUCGGCAAAAACGGUUCGCAAUCGACAAGAUCUGGAUGCAAUCUGGACUCAAUCGGCAGAAAAACAGCAAUGAAAAUUUUCUCCAGAUCAUUCCCGUUCCACAGGACACCGUCCCGAAUACACAGAACAUUGUUAGGAAUCCGA